UCCGAGUGGUGUGGAUGUUUAUUGGGCCUAAAGCAUCCGUAGCUGGCUAGGUAAGUCCCUUGUUAAAUCCACCGAAUUAAUCGUUGGAUCGCGGGGGAUACUGCUUGGCUAGGGGACGAGAGAGGCAGACGGUAUUUUCGGGGUAGGGGUGAAAUCCUAUAAUCCCGGGAAGACCACCAGUGGCGAAGGCUGUCUGCUAGAACGCGCCCGACGGUGAGGGAUGAAAGCUGGGGGAGCGAACCGGAUUAGAUACCCGGGUAGUCCCAGCUGUAAACGAUGCACACUAGGUGUUUGGACGGCCACGUGCCGUUCUAGUGCCGCAGGGAAGCUGUUAAGUCUGCCGCCUGGGGAGUACGAUCGCAAGAUUGAAACUUAAAGGAAUUGGCGGGGGAGCACCACAAGGGGUGAAGCUUGCGGUUUAAUUGGAGUCAACGCCGGAAAUCUCACCGGGAGCGACAGCAGUAUGAAAGCCAGAUUGAGGGUCYUGCUAGACGAGCUGAGA
rnacentral:rRNA from 1 species